rnacentral:rRNA from 1 species
GACGAACGCUGGCGGCGUGCUUAACACAUGCCAGUCGAACGGAAAGGCCCUGCUUUUGUGGGUUUCUCGAUUGGCGGACGGGUGAGUAACACGUGAGUAACCUGCCCUUGACUUUGGGAUAACUUCAGGAAACUGGGGCUAAUACCGGAUAGGAGCUCCUGCUGCAUGGGGGGGGUUGGAAAGUUUCGGCGUUUGGGGAUGGACUCGCUGCUUAUCAGCUUGUUGGUGGGGUUGUGGCUUUCCAAGGCUUUGACGGGUAGCCGGCCUGGGAGGGUGACCGGCGACCUAGGGACUGAGGUAAGGCCGAGACUGCUAAGGGAGGGAGAAGUGGGAAAUAUUGACCGAUCGGCGGCAGCCUGAUGAAGAAACGCCGCGUGUCGGAUGACGGUCUUAGGGUUGUAAAACGCUUUCGCCUGUGACGAAGCGUGAGUGACGGUAAUGGGUAAAGAAGCACCGGCUAACUACGUG